GGUCGGCAGAGAGCGGCGAGGACCUGUCCGACUCCAGGGACCUCGAUGACAGUGACGAAGCUGGUGCCAGGAAGAGGCGUGGAGCAGAAAAGCCCGAAAAGAAACACAAGCGGGCAGCGGCCUCUGACGAUUCUGAUUCAGACUCCGAUUCUGACGAAAGCGACUAGGAUGCCGCCAUGACGGACCACGCU